rnacentral:rRNA from 1 species
UGGGGAAUUUUGGACAAUGGGCGCAAGCCUGAUCCAGCAAUGCCGCGUGCAGGAAGAAGGCCUUCGGGUUGUAAACUGCUUUUGUCAGGGAAGAAAUCUUCUGGGCUAAUACCCCGGGAGGAUGACGGUACCUGAAGAAUAAGCACCGGCUAACUACGUGCCAGCAGCCGCGGUAAUACGUAGGGUGCGAGCGUUAAUCGGAAUUACUGGGCGUAAAGCGUGCGCAGGCGGCUUUGCAAGACAGAUGUGAAAUCCCCGGGCUCAACCUGGGAACUGCAUUUGUGACUGCAAGGCUAGAGUACGGCAGAGGGGGAUGGAAUUCCGCGUGUAGCAGUGAAAUGCGUAGAUGUGCGGAGGAACACCAAUGGCGAAGGCAAUCCCCUGGGCCUGUACUGACGCUCACGCACGAAAGCGUGGGGAGCAAACAGGAUUAGAUACCCUGGUAGUCCACGCCCUAAACGAUGUCAACUGGUUGUUGGACGGCUUGCUGUUCAGUAACGAAGCUAACGCGUGAAGUUGACCGCCUGGGGAGUACGGCCGCAAGGUUG